rnacentral:rRNA from 1 species
AUGCUUGAUCUCAAUGAGUUGCCUCCAGAUCUCAAUGAGCUUCCUCAUGAUAUGGAUCAGCACCAACCCAGCAUACAACAAGGAAACUGCACAGAAAAUGGUCGAUCUGUUUACUACACGCAGGCAAGUCGUGAUGGUAACCCUACGGGCCAUGACAAUGUGGCAGGCCAGUCAUCAGCCCGUGGUGCCCCUGGAGUGGUGUCUUUGCAGUCAGAGAGCCAUACUCUUGAUGACACAGGAACCGAGGCAAAUGUUCCUGGUCCAACCAGGACUGAGCUAGAAGCUGGGGCUUUUGACAGAGCUGUGCAAGUAGAAGGAGAGGAUGAGGCUGGUUCUCAACCUAUGGAACCCUAUGUUGGCAUGAGGUUUGACAGCCUUCAAAUUGCUAAGGAUCACUACAACAGUUACGCACUACGGAUGGGUUUCUCUAUCAAGAUGAACACCUCUAGACGGACACCCCGCACCAAUGAAUUGAUAAAACAACAGUUUUGCUGCAACAAGUUCAAGAAGCCCAAAGCUGAUGAUGGAGGAGCUGAGGCUCCUCCUUACCUGGACCCUAUUCCAGAUCCAACAUCUGUUAACAGUGAUGAGGAGAUGGAAGAAGAACCUCCAAUAUUUGCUGAAGAGGAUGCUGGUACUAGUAAGAAGAAGAAGAAGCGCAAACGUGAGACAAUAAAGCAGACUGAAUGCAAGGCGAAAAUGUUGGUGAAGCUGAUAGAUGGGCGAUGGGAGGUGACGCACUUUGUUCGUGACCACAAUCAUCCGCUCGUGAACAAACCUUCAUUGUCCAAAUACUUGAGAUCCCACCAAGGCAUCUCACCUGAUGAAAAGGAGUUUAUGCGCAUCUUGUAUAACUGCAACUUGACUACAUGA